GCGGAUGGCCGGAUGACCGCGUGUGCCCGGCAACGGGCAUGCGAGGAAAGUCCGGGCUCCAUGAGGCAGGGGUGCCGGGUAACGCCCGGCCGGGGCAACCCGAGGGAAAGCGCCACAGAGAAGAGACAGCCCUAUCGGCCCGGCAACGGGUCCGGGGUGAUGGUGAAACGGUGGGGCAAGAGCCCACCGCAGGACUGGCAACAGGACUGGCAUGGCAAGCCCCACCCGGAGCAAUGCCGAAUAGGGGCCCCGCGUGGAAAGGUCCGCGGCCGAAGGGCCGGGGAUACCGCCACAGGGACGGCUCAGCCCAGGGGCCCGGGUUGGCAGCUAGAUCCCGCCGGUAACGGCGGGGGCAGAGGAAUGGUCAUCGAAGGGGCGCCACGCCCCCGAACAGAACCCGGCUUACAGGCCAUCCGCGCAC
rnacentral:RNase_P_RNA from 1 species